GCCUGGGUGGCUCAGUGGUUGGGCAUCUGCCUUCAGACCAGGGUGUGCUCCUGGGGUCCCAGGAUCGAAUCCUGCAUCAGGCU
rnacentral:tRNA from 1 species